UAAUCCUCAAUGCUGAGGGUCGCAGCCC
rnacentral:sRNA from 1 species